UCCCAUAUGGUCUAGUGGUUAGGAUUCGGCGCUUUCACCGCCAAGGCCCAGGUUCAAUUCCCGGUGUGAGAA
rnacentral:tRNA from 1 species